rnacentral:rRNA from 1 species
UACGUAGGGGGCUAGCGUUGUCCGGAAUCAUUGGGCGUAAAGCGCGUGUAGGCGGCCCGGUAAGUCCGCUGUGAAAGUCCAGGGCUCAACCCUGGGAUGCCGGUGGAUACUGUCGGGCUCGAGUCCGGAAGAGGCGAGUGGAAUUCCUGGUGUAGCGGUGAAAUGCGCAGAUAUCAGGAGGAACACCAAUGGCGAAGGCGGCAUCCUGGUCCGGUACUGACGCUGAGGUGCGAAAGCGUGGGGAGCAAACAGG